CGUAACAAGGUUUCCGUAGGUGAACCUGCGGAAGGAUCAUUACAGAAUGAAAGUGCUUAACUGCAUUUUUUUUACACAUGUGUUUUUCUUUUUUUUUGAAAACUUUGCUUUGGUGGGCCCAUGGCCUGCCAGAGAUUAAACUCAACCAAAUUUUUAUUUAAGUCAACUGAUUAACUAAUAGUCAAAACUUUCAACAACGGAUCUCUUGGUUCUCGCAUCGAUGAAGAACGCAGCGAAAUGCGAUAAGUAAUAUGAAUUGCAGAUAUUCGUGAAUCAUCGAAUCUUUGAACGCACAUUGCGCCCUUUGGUAUUCCAAAGGGCAUGCCUGUUUGAGCGUCAUUUCUCCCUCAAACCUUCGGGUUUGGUGUUGAGCGAUACGCUGGGUUUGCUUGAAAGAAAGGCGGAGUAUAAACUAAUGGAUAGGUUUUUUUUCCACUCAUUGGUACAAACUCCAAAAUCUCCAAAUUCGACCUCAAAUCAGGUAGGACUACCCGC
rnacentral:rRNA from 1 species